rnacentral:rRNA from 1 species
CCGCAGCCGGGGUGGCUAACGCGUAUGCACUCGCUCUAUAGGAGGAAGCCCGGGGAAACUCGGAUAUACUCCUAAGAUUUUGAUUGGCAUCGAUUAGAAUUGAAAGAUUUAUUGGAUAAGGAUAGGCAUGCGUCAGAUUAGUUAGUUGGUAGUGUAACGGACUACCAAGGCGAUGAUCUGUAGGGGGCCUGAGAGGGUGAACCCCCACACUGGUACUGAGACACGGACCAGACUCCUACGGGAGGCAGCAGUGAGGAAUAUUGGACAAUGGAGGGAACUCUGAUCCAGCCAUCCCGCGUGCAGGAAGACGGCCCUAUGGGUUGUAAACUGCUUUUGUAUGGGGAUAAAUCUACUUACGUGUAGGUAGUUGAAGGUACCAUACGAAUAAGCAUCGGCUAACUCCGUGCCAGCAGCCGCGGUAAUACGGAGGAUGCAAGCGUUAUCCGGAUUCAUUGGGUUUAAAGGGUCCGUAGGCGGGCUGAUAAGUCAGUGGUGAAAUUUUGUCGCUCAACGAUAAAACUGCCAUUGAUACUGUUAGUCUUGAGUGAUAUUGAAGUAGCUGGAAUGUGUAGUGUAGCGGUGAAAUGCAUAGAUAUUACACAGAACACCGAUUGCGAAGGCAGGUUACUAAGUAUUAACUGACGCUGAAGGACGAAAGCGUGGGGAGCGAACAGGAUUAGAUACCCUGGUAGUCCACGCAGUAAACGAUGCUAACUCGUUUUCGGGGAGAGAUCUUCGA